UUUCCCAAUUGACUACCACAUUUCCUUCUACUUGUUGAUUUUAGUGGUUAUGCUUAUGAGAUCUAGUAAAAUUGCCAUGAUCUGAAGAGGGAAAAUUUCUUUGUUUCCUCCUCCUCUGAAAUGACUCAACAGAAAAAU